UGUUGUGGAACAUAUUCUCUUCCAUAAUGGAGUUCCUGUGGCUGCCAAGUUGAAGGUCAGAUAACCUGAGCAUGCCCAGAUGAACCAAGUAUGCAUCCAUGGAUGGAACCUAAGGGCUUGAAUUGAGGACCAGGGACUGAAUUACACAGUGGACACAGCAUAGCAGGAUCCAGGAUCCAAUCAGAUCCAGGCCUGGCAUCACCCCAUUGCAAGAUCCAACCAGAUUAUGCCUCGUUACCCUCUGACUAUAAAACCUGCCCCAAUCCCCAGCUCGGCGAGAUAGAUUUGAGCACUUCCUCCUGUCUCCUUGCCCAUUGGCUUGCAAUAAACUUUCUCAAUGCAAAAA
rnacentral:lncRNA from 10 species